AGCAGUACCGUGCCCUGACGG
rnacentral:misc_RNA from 1 species